GUCAACUACCUGGUGAAACUUAACAUCCAGGACAUGCGUUCCGUGGUUCCUGCGCUCCAGGUCCGCUACAUGGUGAAACUUGACUUCAGGGAGAGGACGAGGAGGAUGAGGAGGUUGAGGAAGACGGGGAGAACAAGGAGGAGAUCGUUGGAGGUGAUUUAAGCUGGUUGGCGGUCGAUAGAUUUGUGCACGUAUAACCCGAGGUGGUUAUCGGUGGUUGUUGGAGGUGGUUGGCGGUGGUUGGAGGUCGUCGGAGGUGGACGAGCAGGAGGACAAGGAUUUUUGCUCGUAUUCGAGGUAUAACCCGAGGUGGUUAGCGGUGGUCGUUGGAGAU
rnacentral:lncRNA from 1 species